rnacentral:rRNA from 1 species
GAGAUAGAAAGUUACUUCGGUACAUCGGUGACAGGUGGUGCAUGGUUGUCGUCAGCUCGUGUCGUGAGAUGUUGGGUUAAGUCCCGCAACGAGCGCAACCCCUAUUGUUAGUUGCCAUCAUUCAGUUGGGCACUCUAGCGAGACUGCCGGUAAUAAACCGGAGGAAGUGGGGAUGACGUCAAAUCAUCAUGCCCCUUAUGACCUGGGCUACACACGUGCUACAAUGGUUGGUACAACGAGUUGCGAGUCGGUGACGGCGAGCUAAUCUCUUAAAGCCAAUCUCAGUUCGGAUUGUAGGCUGCAACUCGCCUACAUGAAGUCGGAAUCGCUAGUAAUCGCGGAUCAGCACGCCGCGGUCGAAUACGUUCCCGGGCCUU